AAUAAAACACGCACACAAUAGAUAAAAAUGUCCCCACAGCAUACUCUUCUUUUCCUUCCAUCCGUUCUUUUUCCCUACUUCUUUUUCUUUCUUCUUCCCUUUCAUCUUCUUCUCCUACAUAUUUUUUGUAGGAGAUUUCUAUAU
rnacentral:ribozyme from 1 species